CCUACGGGAGGCAGCAGUGGGGAAUUUUGGACAAUGGGCGCAAGCCUGAUCCAGCAAUGCCGCGUGCAGGAUGAAGGCCUUCGGGUUGUAAACUGCUUUUGUACGGAACGAAACGGUGAGCUCUAAUACAGUUUGCUAAUGACGGUACCGUAAGAAUAAGCACCGGCUAACUACGUGCCAGCAGCCGCGGUAAUACGUAGGGUGCGAGCGUUAAUCGGAAUUACUGGGCGUAAAGCGUGCGCAGGCGGUGAUGUAAGACAGAUGUGAAAUCCCCGGGCUCAACCCGGGACCUGCAUUUGUGACUGCAUCGCUAGAGUACGGUAGAGGGGGGAUGGAAUUCCGCGUGUAGCAGUGAAAUGCGUAGAUAUGCGGAGGAACACCGAUGGCGAAGGCAAUCCCCUGGACCUGUACUGACGCUCAUGCACGAAAGCGUGGGGAGCAAACAGGAUUAGAUACCCUGGUAGUCCACGCCCUAAACGAUGUCAACUGGUUGUUGGGUCUUCACUGACUCAGUAGAGCGACGCGNGAGUGUAACGUCCGUGGGGUUAGGUUACGGUCCGCGAGGUUAGUUAACGUUAAAGUUAGAGUUAGACGGCGUUGAGACGNGCCGACGGCGACGACGAGGGAGGAGG
rnacentral:rRNA from 1 species